GCCUGGGUGGCUCAGUCGGUUGAGCAUCCACCUUCGGCUCAGGUCAUGAUCUCACGGUUCGUGGGUUCGAGCCCCGCCUCGGGCU
rnacentral:tRNA from 1 species